rfam:Villosiclava virens strain TV-8b Sca_37, whole genome shotgun sequence.
UAACCUCGAAUUAGGUAGGAAUACCCGCUAAACUUAAGUAUAUCAAUAAGCGGAGGAAAAGAAACUAAUAGGGAUUGCCUUAGUAAUGGCGAGUAAAGCGGUAAUAACUUAAAUUUGAAAUCUGGCCCCCUAGGGCCCGAGUUGUAAUUUGUAGAGGAUGCUUCUAGCGAGGUGCCUUCCGAGUUCCCUAGAACGGGACGCUAUAGAGGGUGAGAGCCCCAUUUGGCUAAACGCCGAGCCUCUAUAAAGCUCCUUCGACGAGUCGAAUAGUUUAGGAAUACUACUCUAAAUAGGAGGUAUAUAUCUCCUAAAGCUAAAUACCGGCUAGAGACCGAUAGCGCAUAAGUAGAGUAAUUGAAAGAUAAAAAGCACUUUAAAAAGAGGGUUAAAUAGUACGUAAAAUUGUUAAAAGGGAAGCGCUUGUAACCAGACGUGGGCCUCGGCGGAUCAUCCAGCGGUCUCCCGCUAGUGCACUCCGCCAGGCCCAGGCUAGCAUCAGUUUGCCCUAGGGGAUAAAGGCUCCGGGAACAUGGCUCCUCCGGGAGUAUUAUAGCCCGCCGCAUAAUACCCUGGGGCGGACUGAGGUUCGCGCAUCUUUUGCUAGGAUACUAGCGUAAUAGUUAUCAGCGACCCGUCUUAAAACACAGACUAAAGAGUCGUCUUCGUAUGCAAGUAUUCGGGUAUUAAACCCCUACGCAGAAUAAAAGUGAACGCAGGUGAGAGCCCUCUAGGCGCAUUAUCGACCGAUCCUGAUAUUCUCGGAUGGAUUUAAGUAAGAGCAUACGGGGCCAGACCCGAAAGAAGGUGAACUAUGCCUAUAUAGGGUGAAGCCAGAGGAAACUCUGGUGGAGGCUCGCAGCGGUUCUAACGUGAAAAUCGAUCGUCAAAUAUAGGCAUAGGGGCGAAAGACUAAUCGAACCUUCUAGUAGCUGGUUUCCGCCGAAGUUUCCCUCAGGAUAGCAGUAUUGAUCUCAGUUUUAUAAGGUAAAGCGAAUAAUUAAGGACCCGGGGGCGCUAUAUAGCCUUCAUCCAUUCUCAAACUUUAAAUAUAUAAGAAGCCCUUAUUACUUGACUGAACGUAGGCAUUCGAAUGUAUCAGCACUAGUAGGCCAUUUUUGGUAAGCAGAACUAGCGAUGCGGGAUGAACCGAACGCGAGGUUAAAAUGCCAGAGUAGACGCUCAUCAGACACCACAAAAGGUAUUAGUACAUCUUAACAGCAGGACGGUGGCCAUGGAAGUCGGAAUCCGCUAAGGACUGUAUAACAACUCACCUGCCGAAUAUACUAGCCCUGAAAAUAGAUGGCGCUUAAGCGUCUCACCCAUACCUCGCCCUCAGGGUAGAAACGAAGCCCUAAAGAGUAGGCAGACGUAGGGGUCAGUAACGAAGCCUAGGGCGUAAGCCCGCGUCGAACGGCCUCUAGUGCAGAUCUUAGUAGUAGUAGUAAAUACUUCAAUGAGAACUUAAAGGACCGAAGUAGGGAAAGGUUCCAUAUAAACAGCAGUUAGACAUAGGUUAGCCGAUCCUAAGCCAUAGGGAAGUUCCAUUUCAAAGGCGCACUCGUACGCCGUCUGGCGAAAGGGGAGCCGGUUAACAUUCCGGCGCCUGGAUGUGGGUUUUACGCGGCAACGCAACUAAACGCGGAGACGACGGCGGGGGCCCCAAGCAGAGUUCUCUUUUCUUCUUAACAGUCUCUCACCCUAAAAUCGGUUUGUCCGGAGCUAGGGUUUAACGGCCGGAAGAGCCCAGCACCUCUGCUAGGUUCGGUACACUCCCAAUAUCUUUUGAAAAUCCGCAGGAGGGAAUAAUUCUCACGCCAGGUCGUACUCAUAACCGCAGCAGGUCUCCAAGGUGAACAGCCUCUAGUUGAUAGAACAAUAUAAAUAAGGGAAGUCGGCAAAAUAGAUCCGUAACUUCAGGAUAAGGAUUGGCUCUAAGGGUUGGGUGCAUUAGGCCUUGGGAGAACGCCCUAGGAGCAGGCCACCACUAGCCGGGCAACCGGCCGGCGGCGGCCAGCAUCCGGGUGCUAAUACCCUUAGCAGGCCUCGGCCGUCCGGCGCACAUUUAACAACCAACUUAGAAUUAGUACAGACAAGGGGAAUCUGACUAUCUAAUUAAAACAUAGCAUUGCGAUGGCCAGAAAGUGGUAUUGACGCAAUGUGAUUUCUGCCCAGUGCUCUGAAUGUCAAAGUAAAGUAAUUCAACCAAGCGCGGGUAAACGGCGGGAGUAACUAUAACUCAAAUAGCACGAGAAGCCCUAGGGGCGGUCGUUACGCAACAACAGGCGCCCGGCAGCGAUCCGCUGCAAACUAUCUUCGAGAGGGUCAAGUAACGUAAAAGGCGUUGCUAGUAGGCGGCGCCUCGGGGGCGCUGUAGUAGUUUAACGCCCUUGUGGGAUUUCGACCAGCGAUGAUUCGCCCGCAGCUUUCUCAGCCCGUAGCCGGGGUAAUGACCUCAGGGUACAGUAAAAACGCGCCAGAUGGAACAAUAGGCAAUCCGCAG